GGCCGCCUGGCGAAAUGGCAUCGCGUCUGACUACGAUGUACUAUCAACUUAGUUGUGUAAUCAGGAGAUUGCAGGUUCGACCCCUGCGGUGGUCA